rnacentral:lncRNA from 1 species
UUUUAUUAUUAUUAUCAUUUUAUUUUCAUAUACAAAAAGAUAAAACUUGAAAUAGUUCUAGAUUUUUCCUCCUAUUCUGUUGGGGUGUGGCUGCUGCUUCACACAGGGGAAAAAACUACAUUCACAUCGGUUUAUUUGAGGACCCAGUGCAGAGUUCAAGCAGCAAAACCCCAACGUAGCAGAUCUAAUUUCAAACUUGACACUCAUUUCUAAAAUUACCACAGUAAAAAAAGAACAAAGAUCCACUGCAAAUGAAUGAACUAUGAUACAAUGUUCUUUCCCAAAUGUCUUCAUUUUGCAACUGUAAUUACACAGAUGUCUGCUUUAGGCCAUUUUAGAUGUUUGCCGGUAUAUAUAUAUGUGUGUGUGUGUGUGUGUGUGUGUGUGUGUUUGGCUCGCAGUAGUUCUCAGAACUGCCUAGGCCCCGGACAAUCUAAAGACUCUCUUAGAGAAGAGAGGGCAGCGCGGGGCCCACCACACAUGUGGGCAUUCAGAGAAAAUGCAUUCUAGUUCAUGAGGGAAAAACACUUGUGUUAUCACUACGAGCUGCCAUAGGAGCAAAUAAAAUAUCACUGGUUUUGGCACUAGGGGGAUACGUGGAGGACCACAAUGAAAAAAUCCUGCUUCAUUCACACUGGGAGCAUACCAUCAUGAAAAUAUAAGAGCUUGGUAAAAAUUUAAAUAGUGGUAAAUCCUUUAAAUUCAAAAUCUUGUCCACACCAAAGUUUACAGUGGACCCAAAAUAAGUAUAAAAUAGGAAUAUUCAAAAUAUCCCACUAUGUAAUUUGGAUUAUAUCUUGAUGAUAAUUUAUAAGCUUCUUGGACCUACUACAGCUGUCUCUCUAUGUGUGUGGUGGGGCUGGGGGAAAGGGGGGGGGGGUUUACCAAAAUCCACAGAUGCUCAAAACUCUUAUAUAAAAUGAUGUAAGGUUUGCAUAUAACCUCCACAGAUCCCGCCCCCCCCACCCGUACACUUUUAUUUAUUUACACUUAUUUUUUUGGCCACGCCUGAGGCAUGCAGACAUUCCCAGGCCAGGGAGCAAACCUGAGCCACAGCAAUGACCCAAACCAGCGCAAUGACAAUGUCAGAUCCUUAAUUUGCUGAGCGACCAGGGAACUCCCCUCCCAUAUACUUUAAAUCGGCUCUAGAUUGCUUAGAAUACCUUAUAAUAUAAAUACUAUGUAAAUAGUUGCCAGUAGAUGGCAAAUUCAGGUUGUGAUUUUCAGAAUAUUCUGUCAAUUUUUUUCCCAAAUGUUUUUGAUGCAAGGUGUUGAACCCACGAAUGAGAAACCUGUGGACACAGAGGGGCAACGGUAAUUGUUUUUAAAGUGUGGCUGAAUCAAAUGAAUUAAUUUCCAAGGGGGAGGGAGCAUUUUAAACUUCAGUUUCCUUUUGCUACAAAACUAAAUCAUCAUCUUAAAAAACUUCCCCAAGCCUCCUAAAGGUUUGAGAUACAUUCAUAGGUGAAUUGCUGGUUACAAAUUAACUAUCAAGAAUCUUAAAGAACUAUGCCUAUAACCCUGAAUUCAUUAAACGUUUACAAAUCUAGACUGAGAAGAUAUAUAAACAGAUCAUCAACUGAAUUACUGGGCCUCUUUCUUUACUCUAAACAUUACUCUUGACCAAAACUUAAACUCGUCAUUACUAGGCUGACCAGGCUGAACAUAUUAGCUGCUGAGUAUUUUACUAGUUCAGCUUCUGUAAACAGCCACUGACCUAGGAAAAUUCAAGUCACCUAAACAAAGACAAAAAGCCAGUUUGCCCUCUUUCCUUUCUGGCUGCUUGCCCUGGACUAGGGUGGGGCAGGGGUGGGGGGUGGGGUGGAGUGUCAAUUCUCUGUGCUUCUUAGAAAGGUGUGGUCUGAGGACCCUGAACUGUGAACCAGGCAGGCCUGGAUUCUCUCUAAAGAUUCAAAACCCAACC